rnacentral:rRNA from 1 species
GACGAACGCUGGCGGCGUGCCUAACACAUGCAAGUCGAACGGACGAGGCCCCUUCGGGGACCGAGUUAGUGGCGAACGGGUGAGUAACGCGUGAGCAACCUGCCUUUCAGAGGGGGACAACAGGUGGAAACGACUGCUAAUACCGCAUAACACAUUCGGGGGGCAUCCCCUGAAUGUCAAAGAUUUAUCGCUGAAAGAUGGGCUCCCGUCUGAUUGGCUAGUUGGUGAGGUAACGGCUCACCAAGGCGACGAUCAGUAGCCGGACUGAGAGGUUGAACGGCCACAUUGGGACUGAGAUACGGCCCAGACUCCUACGGGAGGCAGAAGUGGGGAAUAUUGGGCAAUGGGGGAAACCCUGACCCAGCAACGCCGCGUGAAGGAAGAAGGCUUUCGGGUUGUAAACUUCUUCUACCAGGGACGAAGACGUGACGGUACCUGGAGAAAAAGCCACGGCUAACUACGUGCCAGCAGCCGCCGUAAGAC